rnacentral:rRNA from 1 species
UAACAAUGAUUUCCCUAGUAACGGCGAGUGAAGAGGAAAGAGCUCAAAGUUGGAACCUGUUUGGCUUAGCUAAACCGGAUUGUAAACUGUAGAAACAUUUUCCAGAUACACUAGACAAAAAAGUCCUUUGGAACAGGGCAUCAUAGAGGGUGAGAAUCCCGUCUUUGGUCUAAGUAGUUGUCUAUUGUGAUAUGUUUUCAAAGAGUCAGGUUGUUUGGGAAUGCAGCCUAAAUUGGGUGGUAAAUCUCACCUAAAGCUAAAUAUUUGCGAGAGACCGAUAGCGAACAAGUACCGUGAGGGAAAGAUGAAAAGAACUUUGAAAAGAGAGUUAAACAGUAUGUGAAAUUGUUAAAAGGGAACCGUUUGGAGCCAGAUUGGCUUGAUUGUAAUCAACCUAGAAUUCGUUUUGGGUGCACUUGCAGUCUAUGCCUGCCAACGACAGUUUGAUUUGGAGGAAAAAAUUAAUAGGAAUGUGGCCUUUCGAGGUGUUAUAGCCUAUUAUCAUACUCUGGAUUGGACUGAGGAACGCAGUGAAUGCCUUUAGGCAAGAUUGCUGGGCGCUUUCGCUAAUAAAUGUUAGAAUUUCUGCUUCGGGUGGUGCUAAUGUUUAAAGGAGGAACUCGUUUAGUAUAUUUUUUAUUCGCUUAGGUUGUUGGCUUAAUGACUCUNAAUGA